rnacentral:rRNA from 1 species
UACGUAGGGGGCAAGCGUUGUCCGGAAUUAUUGGGCGUAAAGAGCGCGUAGGCGGUCCGAUAAGUCGGCUGUGAAAGUCAUGGGCUCAACCCAUGAAAGCCGGCCGAUACUGUCGGACUAGAGUCCGGAAGAGGCGAGUGGAAUUCCCGGUGUAGAGGUGAAAUUCGUAGAUAUCGGGAGGAACACCGGUGGCGAAGGCGGCGACCUGGGCCGUACCUGACGCUGAGGCGCGAAGGCUAGGGGAGCGAACGGG